GUGUUUCAGCAGCACAUACACUAAAAUUGGAAUGACAGAGAGAAGAUUAGCAGGGCCGUUGUGCAAGGAUGAUAUGCAAAUUCAUGAAGCAUUCCAUAUUUUU